GAAAAAGUGCUAAAGAAUUAGAAUUUCUAUUUGGAGGGAAGACAUGCUAGUAUCAGUCAGUGUAUCACGUAUGCAUGAUUGAGCUGAUUGUUAAGUUUAGCAACCUAAGCUCAUGUGAAAAAAAUUAUAAAUAAUCACAGGAAUCUUUGAAUACAGUGCCGGUACAACUCCGCUCCAGUUUUUCAACAAAGAAGAAGGAAAAAAAUGGAUCUUGAAGGUUUCUACGCCACUUCUCUAGCCAAAGAAGCAAUGAAGAGAAAAUGUAACAGUCUACUGACUUAGUAGUAGUAUUUUUCAACUGAAGUGGGCAAUCUUUCUAAGUUUCUAGUGGUCUGUGUGUGUUCGUCCGUGUACGAGCUGAUUGAUCAUCGAAGCUCAAGCCAUGGCGGAUCGCUGCGAAGAUUUAUGAUCAGAUGAUGCGCUGAUGGCGCCGGAAGAAGUGAACGAACGUCGACGGUCGACAUGGCGCGAGCCUCACUUACCGCGCUCAAACUUGCCGGGCGAUUGGCUUCUCGUCGUCGUCCUCCACGUCGUCGUUGGCGAAGGCGACGACUCUUGUCCCGGGCCCGCCGCCGCCGCCGAGGCAGUCGAAGCGGACGCUGCCCUUAGCUGAGCUCACUGAGCCAUCGGUGGCGGUGGUCUUGUCACGCUUGGUCCUCGCCGUCGUUGACGUCGGCGUCGUGGCGGUGCCGGUGUAGACGUCAGCUCCGGCCUCCGUGUCGAGUGCUCUCCUCGACGCAGACCAGAACGGCACCCUCGAUGAGAACGUCCUCGCGAUGAACGACGGCCACCGGUCGGACCGCCCNN
rnacentral:lncRNA from 1 species